CUUUUAUGUAACAAUGUGAAAACUGAAGAUCCCACUAAACGCCAAGGGAAUUCUGGGCACCUACCUAGUUCUGAGAAGUAAAUGACCAACUUCAUAAGCAAGAAGUCUCCUACUAAUAGAGGGUCCAGCCCAGGAUGCUCAGAGAAAUAGACAGCAUACCAGCCUUUUCAUCCUCCUCUGCGGCUUCAUCUGGUGUAAUAUCUCUGUGGAAAAGCUUUUCUUCUUCAAUUAUGAAACAACGCCCGACAUGCCUUUCACUGGACAUCAGCAUGAGAUGGGUGCCUGUGCUUGUGUGUGCUUGGAAGGUGGAAGUGUGAGCACCAGUAGAAGUCCUGCCUUUUAAAAUGGAAGCCUACCCUGCACAUGCUUUACUCCUCUAUGACUUGCUUUUCACGGUAUAGAGCAUUGUAAUUACAUUGGAGAGACUGAUAUAUCUCUGACGACAAUUGAAAAAGACUGAUCUGGGUCUUUCAAGCCAAACCAAAUACAGAAUUUGUAGAAAUCUGAAAAAGAAACAAAGUUACUUAACUAAAAAAAAAAAAAUCUCCUAUCUUUGGGAGGCCGAGGCGGGCGGAUCACGAGGUCAGGAGAUCAAGACCAUCCUGGCUAACACGAUGAAACCCUGUCUCUACUAAAAAUACAAAAAAUUGCCGGGCGUGGUGGCGGGCGCCUGUAGUCCCAGCUACUCACGAGGCUGAGGUAGGAGAAUGGCUUGAACCUGGGAGGCGGAGCUUGCAGUGAGCCGAGAUCGCACCACUGCACUCCAGCCUGGACGACAAAGCGAGACUCUGUCUCAAAAAAAAAAAAAAAUCUCCUGUCAAAAGGUGGAAAUAACCGGUGUCCAUGAACAAAUAAAUGGAUGAACAAAAUGUACUAUAAGCACACAAUGGAAUAUUAUUUGACCUUAAGAAGGAAUGAAAUUCUGAUAAUGCUACAACAUGGAGAAAGCUUGAAAACACCAUACUAAAUGAAAAAAGCCAGACACAAAAGGACAAACAUUGUAUAUGAUUCCACUUAGAUGAGGCAGCUAACAUAGGCAAAUUCAUAGAGACAGAAAGUAGAAUAGAAUUUAACAAGAACUGAAGGGAGGGGAGAAUGAGAAGUUAUUAUUUAGGGGUACCUAAUUUCUGUUUGGGAUGACAUAAAAGUUCUAGAAAUGGAUAGUGGUAAUGAUUGUACUUAAUGAAUGUUCUGAAUG
rnacentral:lncRNA from 10 species